rnacentral:rRNA from 1 species
AUUGAACGCUGGCGGCAUGCCUAACACAUGCAAGUCGAACGGUAACGCGGAGAGCUUGCCCUCUGGCGACGAGUGGCGGACGGGUGAGUAAUACUUAGGAAUCUGCCCAGUAGUGGGGGACAACAUUCGGAAACGGAUGCUAAUACCGCAUACGCACUACGGUGGAAAGUGGGGGAUCUUCGGACCUCACGCUAUUGGAUGAGCCUAAGUCGGAUUAGCUUGUUGGUGAGGUAAUGGCUCACCAAGGCGACGAUCCGUAGCUGGUCUGAGAGGACGAUCAGCCACACUGGGACUGAGACACGGCCCAGACUCCUACGGGAGGCAGCAGUGGGGAAUAUUGGACAAUGGGCGCAAGCCUGAUCCAGCAAUGCCGCGUGUGUGAAGAAGGCCUGCGGGUUGUAAAGCACUUUCAGUAGAGAAGAAAAGCCCAGGGUUAAUACCCCUGAGUCUUGACGUAACCUACAGAAGAAGCACCGGCUAACUCCGUG